rnacentral:rRNA from 1 species
AUGGGAGUCAAUGAUGAAUGGAUAAUAUGUAUUGCUUCCCCAACAUCAAUCCUGUAUCUUCCAGCAGAAUGGGAAUCUUGUAACAUCUCUCUUUUCCUGUAUGUUUCCCGCUUCUUUGUAUUGGUUUUCUGGUUUGUUGUGUAUAAGCUUGGGAAUGUUUUUAUGUUUGUUAAUUGCUUCUUUCACCUGAUUGGGGACAAAAUCACCAUUGAACUCGAACUCCUUCAGUUUUGGAAGGUUGUCAAUGCCGGAGAUAGUACCCAUCGUGAAGGACCAGAUGAUUUUCUCGAGCCUAGUAGCAGAUCCGCCGGUAAAGCUAAUAUUGGGAAUGGCAGAAAAGUCGACAAUAAGAAGGUUGAGCCUUGGGAAGUCGUCUUUGUAGAAGAUAAGUUGGUUUUGUACAUAAGAUGUCUCCUUGAGUACUAG